UUUACCUACGGGAGGCAGCAGUGGGGAAUAUUGCACAAUGGGGGAAACCCUGAUGCAGCGACGCCGCGUGAGUGAGGAAGUAUUUCGGUAUGUAAAGCUCUAUCAGCAGGGAAGAAAAUGACGGUACCUGACUAAGAAGCCCCGGCUAACUACGUGCCAGCAGCCGCGGUAAUACGUAGGUGGCGAGCGUUAUCCGGAAUGAUUGGGCGUAAAGGGUGCGCAGGCGGUCCUGCAAGUCUGGAGUGAAACGCAUGAGCUCAACUCAUGCAUGGCUUUGGAAACUGGAGGACUGGAGAGCAGGGGAG
rnacentral:rRNA from 1 species